rnacentral:lncRNA from 1 species
CCGCCGCGAUCCCUGCGCACCACGGCCCUGCCCGCCACGGGGCGAGCCCGAUAAGAGGGCUGUGGACGUUCGGGUCUAGUUGGGAGAGACAGGGGUCCCUGACUCUUGAGCGGUCAGUCAUUUCCUCCCCAGUCCUUGUGGGUGACGUGGCUACGGUUUGGAGCAGCAAGCCCCCUCCCCGAACUAAAGGGCCUCUCCAAAGGUUAAGCCAGGGCAGUCAUUGAGGUCAAAACCAAUAUGUAGUUUCUUGACUGCAGGUGCCUGCACGACUCCCAGAAAGUCGCGUCUCCCCUAACCCCCAUGCCCAGGACCUGAGGACAAAGGUCUAGCGAUUGUCCAUCCCCUCCCCCAGUGAGGACAGCCGGGAAAGACCUGCCUUUGUUGUGUACAGGUGGUAUCUCACUGUGUUAUCCAGACUGGACUCAAAUUUCUGGGCUCCAAUGGUCCUCUCACCUCAGCCUCCCAAGUAGUCAGGACUACAGAACUCCAUGGCAAUGUUUUGAGGAUUAAAGAGGAGAGUGAUGACUAUCCAAACGUCAGAGAACGCAACUAUGAGACUAGAGACACUGGAAAACUAAAAAAGUAACGGGCCUUUGCUGACUCAGGGAGAUGAUUUCCCAAGAGGGAAGAAAACUGGAACCUGAGAAAUAAGUGAUUUAGUAAUGUGGCUGCUAAAAUACGGAAAAACUAGAAUGAAUGGCUUACACAUUUUUGAAAUGAAGUUAGAAGAGGGUUAUACUGUGAAGAAGAAUGAAAAAGCCAAACAUUUCAUUCAGGUAAGCAUAUCACAUAGGAGAAACUCUAGGUGACUUUGGUUUGGCAGUGAGUUUUUAGAUACAACACCAAAGCACAAUCCAUAAAAGAAAAGAAAGAUAGAUAAGUUGGACUUCAUUAAAAUGAAA